CGCGCCUGGGACACCGCCGAAGUGCCUCGGACGCCGCUGUCGCGCUGCGGGGUGCGGACGCCGCCCACGCACCCUAGACGCCUCCGACUGCAGCUGACGCCGUCAGCGCCUGGGACUCCGCCAAUGAAGCUACUGUGCAGGAUCUUAGUGCAACAUUGCGCUGCAGGCUGGGACCAGGGUGGACUCAGGUAGCGGAGGAGCUGUGCCAGCGUUUACAGCGAAAGGAAAUGAUGCUGCAGGACCUUCUGAGUGAUCGACACAAACAAGUGGGUGGAACACGAAAUUGAGAUUCAAGGCCUGCUUCAGUCUGUGAACUCCAGAGAGCAGGAAAGCCAGGUUGCUGCAGAGAAGUUGGCGCAAACCUUGACCGAAAGAAAUUCAGAAUUACAGGCCCUGUGCCAGUAUUUGGAAGGGAGAGACUCCAUGAUGUUCCAAGCACCCAUCUCUAACCAACGAGCUGAAAUUCCCUCCAUUGGCCCCCCUCUUGGAGAACAGACUGAUCAAGGUCCAGUGCAGAUACCUUCCAUAGAUGAUAGUCCUUUAUUGACUGCCAAAGAAGAUGCCAGCAUACCCAGAUCCGCAUUAGAAUCUGUCAUUGCCCAGGCUGGACUGCAGUGGCACCAUCUCAGCUCAAGCGAUCUUCCCAACUCAGCCUCCGAAAGUGGAGCUAGAACUACAGGCAUACGUCACCAUUCUUGCUAGUUUGUUUGUUUUGUUUUGUUUUUUUAGAGAUGGGGUUUCACCAUCCUGGCCAGGCUUGUCUGGAACUCCUAGCCUCAAAUGAUCCACCUGCCUCAGCCUCCCAAAGUGCUGGGAUUACAGGUGUGAGCCUGGCUGACAUCUUUCUUAGUGCAUCACAUCAGUUCAUUAUAAUCAGUUUGUAUCAUCCUUGGUGAUAUUAAAUUUAGUCAUUUGGUUAAGAUUGUAGCUGCCAAAUCUCUCCAUUGUAAAAGGUUCAUUUUCCCCUUUAUAUGUAAAUCAUCUGCUGGCUGAAUUGGAGAUGUUGACAGUUCUGUUUUCCAACAGUCAUUCACUCUGGCUGUAAUAUCAUUUGAGCCUUGCUUGAACCAACUCUUACGUUGGUAGCUUUAAAAUAGUGAUUUUCAGGACCGGGCACGGUGGCUCAUGCCUUUAAUCCCAGCAGUUUGGGAGGCCCAGGAGAGUGGAUCACUUGAGCUCAGGAGUUCGAGGCCAGCCCGGCCAAUAUGAUGAAACUAAGUCUCUACUAAAAACACAAAGAUUAGUCGGGCGUGGUGGCACAUGCCUGCAAUCCCAGCUAUGCAGGAGACUGUGGCAGGAGAACCACUUGAAUCCGGGAGGCAGAAAGAGUGCCCCACUGCACACCAGGCUUGGUGACAGAAUGAGACUUGGUCUUAAAAAAAAAAAAAUUAAGAUUUUUCUGUUUCUAAAAUUUUUUUAUUUCUUGUGGAUAUUAUUUUAUAAAGAAGAGCUGUCCUUUCCCUAUCUCUGUACCCCAUUUGUUUUUAUCUAUAUGGUUUUUAAAAAAUCAUUAUAUUAUUGAUUUUGGUCAUGAUUUCCUUAACUCCUCAAAUUAACCCAGAUUCGGUCAGUGGGAACCUCAUCGAGCUGUUUCUCCGACCCUUUGCCAUAUCCCCACCAGUUUUUUUGGUUGGUUGGUUUUUUGUUUUUUGCACUUUCCUGGUUUCUGGUACAAUAAGAUGUUCUAUGACUACCUUUUACUUACCUGUCUCAGUCCCAGAAUCAGCCAUUAUCCUAAAGAGCUCCCUGGUUCCUUUUGGUGGAUAAUGGCAUUGAAAAACUGUGAUCUGGGCAUCAGAUGUCUUUAUUGCUACGUGAAUACCUUUUGCUUCUAGGCCGUUUUAAGUGAACAGAGCUAGCAGUGGAUAUUUUUAAGUAUAAUGUAUGUAUUUGUAUACAUAUGAAGAUUUGAUACUGAUUUCUGUAAUUCAACUUUAACAUUAUGGUUCUUUUUUCCUUCAUUUCAUAUUUGUAUCUGCUUGAGAGCUCCGGUUAUUUAUAACAUCAAUAUAUUUCAAAGGAUUUACACAUUUGCAUAAUACUAUAAUAUACAAAAGUAGUUUCUGAAUUACUACAUGAAUACCAGUAUCAACAGUAAAUGUAUUAUGUGAUGUUUACAUUUUUUUGUAAUUCUUUUUAUCCUGAAGGUAUUUUUGUAAUUCUUUUUCUCCUUGGGGUAUUUUGGACUGACGGUGUUCCGUUAGUGAGUUCAAAAAUUAUUUGGAUUAAUUUGUCUUAUUCUGGGUGGUUUUAUCAUUUUUUUACUACAUAGAUUCAUUUAUUUCUAUUAGGAUUUAACUUUAGGUUUUUUAUCUCCCUUUGUCAAGCUGACUUACAUAUUAAGAAUUAAACCUUAACACAGUUCAAAACUCCAGUAUAUAAAAUGAUAUACUCAGAUGUUUCAUCUCUUUCCCUAUCCCUUCAUUCCUGUUUCCAUUCAUCUCCUGAAGGUAAUCAGUUUCAUUUCUGGGUUAUUCUUCCUCUAUAUUUUUUUUCAGAAAUCAGCAAAUGAAUCAUCUGUGUAUAUGUAAUGUAUAUAUGUAUAUUCUUAUUCCCCCUUUUCCUAAUGUAAAACCUACUACCUUAGAUGUAUUCUUGAGCACGUAGAUUGUUUUCCUUAACAUAUUCUCAGGAUUUCUAAACCAUUCCAUUUAAGUUCAUAAAGAUCGUUCUUAUUCCCUUUUUAUAGCAGUAUGUAGUUCCAUCUGUGAAUAUACUCGAUUUCAUUCAGUCUUUUCUUGAUAGCAUGCAGGAUGAUUGCAGUGUUUUGCUGUUAUAAAUAAUGCUACAAAGAACAACCUGCGUAUAUGUUUUAUUUUUUUCUUAUUAUUGGAAUGUGUCCUCAGUAAAUGACUCAAAGGAGGCAGUCGAUAUCACAUUAUGUUAAUAGCAAUUAAAACUAGCACUCUAUUUUCA